UUACCAUGCAAGUCGUACCAGGGUAACCACUUCGGAUGCUGACGAGUGGCGGACGGGUGAGUAACGCGUAGGAAUCUGCCCAUUUGAGGGGGAUACCAGUUGGAAACGACUGUUAAUACCGCAUAAUAUCUGUGGAUUAAAGGUGGCUUAGGCUGCCGCAGAUGGAUGAGCCUGCGUUGGAUUAGCUAGUUGGUGGGGUAAGGGCCUACCAAGGCUACGAUCCAUAGCUGAUUUGAGAGGAUGAUCAGCCACAUUGGGACUGAGACACGGCCCAAACUCCUACGGGAGGCAGCAGUGGGGAAUAUUGGACAAUGGGGGAAACCCUGAUCCAGCAAUGCCAUGUGUGUGAAGAAGGCUCUAGGGUUGUAAAGCACUUUAGUUGGGGAGGAAAGCCUAUGAGUUAAUAGCUUGUAGGAAGGACGUUACCCAAAGAAUAAGGACCGGCUAACUCCGUGCCAGCAGCCGCGGUAAUACGGGGGGUCCGAGCGUUAAUCGGAAUUACUGGGCGUAAAGGGUCUGUAGGUGGUUUGUUAAGUCAGAUGUGAAAGCCCAGGGCUCAACCUUGGAACUGCAUUUGAUACUGGCAAACUAGAGUAUGGUAGAGGAAUGGGGAAUUUCUGGUGUAGCGGUGAAAUGCGUAGAGAUCAGAAGGAACACCAAUGGCGAAGGCAACAUUCUGGACCAAUACUGACACUGAGGGACGAAAGCGUGGGGAUCAAACAGGAUUAGAUACCCUGGUAGUCCACGCUGUAAACGAUGAGUACUAGCUGUUGGAUUCGGUGUAAAGGAUCUAGUGGCGCAGCUAACGCGUUAAGUACUCCGCCUGGGGACUACGGCCGCAAGGCUAAAACUCAAAGGAAUUGACGGGGACCCGCACAAGCGGUGGAGCAUGUGGUUUAAUUCGAUGCAACGCGAAGAAUCUUUACCUGGGUC
rnacentral:rRNA from 1 species